CCAUCCCCUCCUGUCUUCUCCCCCCACCCCCAUCCUCUCCUAAGGGAACCUUCAGCUCUAAAGAGAACAGCCAAUGAGCGGCCAGUGAUUCUUUUUGGGAUAAGAUCGUCCAAUCAGAAGGGGGGGUGGCAAAAGGCCAGCUGAGAAGGAGGGAGGUCAGGGUUUCUGGAUCUCUUCUGGGCUCUGGCCGGGGAGAUGAGGAUGCCGUCCAGAAGUUGGGAAAUAACCAGGAAAUGCCUUUCCGCCUUAAUGUAUUCCAGGGGCCAUGAGCUCUCUCAGCCCCUUUCACCCCAACCGGAGAGGGAGGCAGAGCGGGAAGUUGGAGGGAGAGAAUCUUGAUUUCCUCCAGCUAAGUACUUGGAGAUCCCCUUUAAGGAGCCUCAAAGGAGAAGGUUGCCUGAGGAGAAGAGGUCACAGCUGGAAUAUAUUUGAACCACCAGUUUUCCUGGGGAGGGAAAUGGAGACUUCCACACAACUUCCAACCCCCCCCCCUCCCUUCUUUUCAUGAAUCCCAGGCUCUGGGAUGGAAUUUCCAAGAAUAAUAUUUGGGGCCCCGGAAGGUCUGCAGUGCCCUCACCACUCACUGGCUCCUUCCCCUAGGAUGGGGGUAGGGCAGCGGGGGCCGACAGCUGGAAGAGCCCGGCUAGCUGAGAUUCCCUACCUUCCCACACAUCCCUCUCUUGAUGGUCAAAAUGGAAUGAGUCCGGAUUGAGAGCACAAAAACCUGAGUUAUGGCUCCGGCUCCCGUCUCUCCCCCCUCAAGGGGUCAUUGCCCCCCUCAACCUCCUUUCCUCCCCUAUCAGUCGAUGGCGUUGGGCCAGACAGACUAAAUGAGUCCUCAGCCCGUGUCCAGAAGAAGAGAAGGAUCCAGGGGCCCCCUCAGAUAAGGUGACGUCCUUCCCCACAAUGGAGACGAUUCUCCCAGACCCUAGAUUGCACCACAGUCCUGCUCUGCAAAUAAAGUCCUAUCUCCCCCUACUUGCUGCCUCCCUCCCUUCCUAUCUUCUGCAUCCAGCUGGCAUCCCACGCUUCCAGCAGAAACGGGGUUCCGAAAGAAAGACACCGGCCCAGAGACUGACAGCUCCGGAAGUCUUGGCCCUUUAGCCCACUUCUGUUGCCCUGACUCUUCAUCCCAGGGCACCUUCUGCUUCUGAGACCUCAGCUUCCUCACUGGGCUAAGCCAUCUCUAAGGGACUUUCCAGAGUCAGAUCCCACGAUUAGCCCAGGAUAUCAGACCCAGAGCAGCCUUCCCUUCUGCCAGCCUCCCCUCCUCCUCCAUACCAGUAAAGAUCCCGUACUGACAACUGGCAGCACAGCCUGAUAUCUGACACUUUCGAAGUUCCACCAGCCUCCUGGCCUCUUACCCACCCCCACUCCCGGGCGGGAGUUCUUCCUGUGCUUGCAUUCAUCAGCUCUCCUCCAACAAGAUCCUUCCACCUGGACAUGAACCCUCCUUCCUUGGAGCUAGCGUGGCUCGGUCUACCACUGUCCACCCAGAACUGAAGUUCUUAACCCCAUGGGAUCCAUGAACUUGGACGAGAAAAAAAUACUUUAUUUUCAUUGUCAUCUCACUGAAACUGAACAUUUCCUUCAAUCAGAACUUGGUGAAAACAUAGUAAAGUCAUUUUGGGUCCUCUUGGAGAACAAAGGGCAGCAGCCAACAGCCAAGACAACGAGCACUAUCAGCAGUCUCCGAGACUUAAUCGCUGAUAGAAAUUGGAGAUAUUUUCAUAUCACGUGACAGUGGCCACAGAUUAUCUCAGAAUAAUCCUCUCUUGUCAUCACUGCUUCAGAAUGACUGUAGCUAUUAAACCCACUUCUAGAUCUUAUGUGCCCGGCCUUCUGAUCUGCAGAUUGUAUUUCCAAAGGAUGGCUCUCCUCUCUGAUCGUACAAAUUUUCUUUUCUGCUUUUAAAAACAUGAUCUGAGAAGAGUGUCAAACGUCAAACCUCCCUAUUUCUCCUGGAACUUAAUGAAUCAUCUUAGAGUUUAAAGGAACCACAUAGGUUGUAUAUUCCAGUGAUGUCAAACUGAAAUAGAAAGGAGGGGGCAGUUUGGAAAAGGAGGAGGCAUUAAACCCGUAAGCCUCAUAUUGACUUAGAAGCCCACAUAUUAACUAAAUUAACUAAAUAGCAUCAUCAGAUUCCAGGCCAACACUUUUUUAAAAAUUUUAAUAGUAUUUUAUUUUUCUGAAUACAUGCAAAGAUGAUAGUUAACAUUUCCCUUUACAAAACCUUAUGUUUCCAAUUUUUCUUCCUCUUCUCCCCUUCCCCUCCCCAAGACAAGAAAUCCAAAAUAGAUUAAAAUCUAAGUAGUUAAUACUUAUGAUUUGCAAUAAACAAUCCUUCUCUUCAAGAUGUUUAAUUGGUUAUUGCAGUUUACCUGGUAGAUGAGCUUAUCUCCUCUACUAUAGACAUGAGACUCACAAAUGCAUCAGUCACUUUUAUGCCUGGGUUGGUGGUUUCCCAUUUUGAAGUUGUCAACUCAUACAACUCGGGAUCCACACCUUUUAGUAUAAAAUGACAGUCAGUGAUGGUAGGAUAAAACAUGAGUGAUUUCUUCUAAAUAUAUUUCCCUAUUUAUCAAUAUGUGCAAAAAAAAAAAAAAAUCAGAUCAAAAGGGGAAAAAAACACGAGAAAGAAAAAAAAAAAACACAAACAAACAAACAAUCAACCACAAUGACAAGGUGAAAAUACUAUGUUUCAAUCCACAUUCAGUUCCCAUAGUCCUUUCUCUGGCUGCAGAUGACACUUUCCAUGCCAAAUCUAUUGGAACUGCCGUGAAUCACCGCAUUGUUGAAAAGAGCCAAGUCCAUCUCAGUUGAUCAUCACAUAAUCUCGUUGCUGCUUGUACCAUGUUUUCUUGGUUCUGCUCACCUCACUUAGUGCAUGUAAGUUUUUCCAGGCUUCUCUGAAAUCAGCCAGGUCCAACACUCUUUGGAACACACAAACUGAUUUAAAAACAGAAGAGUUGGAGCAGCCAGGUGGUGCAGUGGAUAGAGCACCAGCCCUGAAGUCAGGUAGGACCUGAGUUCAAAUUUGACCUCAGACACUUAACUUUUCAAUUGUGUGAUCCUGGGCAAGUCACUUAAACCCAAUUGCCUUGCAAAAAGGAAAGACAAAACAAACAAAAAAAUAGGAGAGUUGUCUCUUUAGUGACGAGCAAAUUGAGUACACCAGGAGAGAUGUUUCAAAGAAAUACUUUUAAUUUGCCUAGAAGUGAUUUAUUCCCCAUUCCCCAUAUUCCUCUCCCCCUUCAGGUUGUGGGAGUCAGAGCAUCAGAAGCUGGAAGCAUCUAGACACUAGAGACAGAACCUGCAGAAUCCCAGACAAAAAUAGGCAGAGACGGCAUCUCAAAGUAAUAAGCAGAGAAUCUGGGCAGGAGAGAAAUGGAAAAUAACAUCUCCCAGGAGAAAACCAAAGUGGUUCCUGACCCUAAGUUCCUUGGUUGCCUGCUUCUAAAGCCGCUGAAAGACAUUACGGAUGUUGGCAAGACAAUUCUUUCCCUUUCCCCCAACGAUUUUGAAAAUGGAGAACAGCUUUUUGUCGCAACAGAUUAGAUACCCAUCAACUGGGGAAUAGCUAAACAAAUUAUGGCUCGUUAAUGUAAUGGAAUAUUACUGUGCUGUAAAACACAACAAAUAUAGAGAAGUAUGGAAAGAGCCAGAUCAACAGAUGCAAAGUGAAGUAGCAAACACAAUGGUUCAGUCAGUAAAACACUUAUUAGGAACCUGUUAAGUGUCAGACACCGGGGAGACAAAGAAAGACAAAAGACAGCUCCUAUCCCCAAGGAGCUUACAUUCUAACAGGGAACUCGAUAGGCAAAUUAUACAGGAUAAGAAAUUAGUAACACAGCAAAGGCUUUAGAAAUAAGAGAGAUUGGAAAGGACUUCCUGUAGAAGGUUUUGCCAAGGUGAAUAUUGAAAACUAUCUUUGCAUAUAUUUGGAAAAAUAAAAUGCCAUUAAAAAAAAGACUUCUUUAUGAACUGAUGUUGAAUGAACAAGCAGAACCAGGAAUAUCAUACACAACAACAGCAAAGAUGCGAUGAUUAACCACGAAGGACUUGGUUCUCCUCAGUGGUUCAGUGAUCCAAAGAAUCCCUUUGGACUUUGGACACAAAAUGCCAUCUGUAUACAGAAGAGCUACGAAGAUUGAAUGUAAAUCAAUAAUGCUAUGUUCACUUCUUUUUUCUGGGUUUUUUUUUUUAAUCUCUUCCAUGGUUUUUCCCUUUUGCUCUGAUUUUUCUCUUCCAGCACGAUUCA
rnacentral:lncRNA from 1 species